GAUGAACGCUGGCGGCGUGCCUAAUACAUGCAAGUCGAGCGAACAGAUGAGGAGCUUGCUCCUCUGACGUUAGCGGCGGACGGGUGAGUAACACGUGGAUAACCUACCUAUAAGACUGGGAUAACUUCGGGAAACCGGAGCUAAUACCGUAUAAUAUAUUGAACCGCAUGGUUCAAUAGUGAAAGACGGUUUUGCUGUCACUUAUAGAUGGAUCCGCGCCGCAUUAGCUAGUUGGUAAGGUAACGGCUUACCAAGGCAACGAUGCGUAGCCGACCUGAGAGGGUGAUCGGCCAAACUGGAACUGAGACACGGUCCAGACUCCUACGGGAGGCAGCAGUAGGGAAUCUUCCGCAAUGGGCGAAAGCCUGACGGAGCAACGCCGCGUGAGUGAUGAAGGUCUUCGGAUCGUAAAACUCUGUUAUUAGGGAAGAACAAAUGUGUAAGUAACUAUGCACGUCUUGACGGUACCUAAUCAGAAAGCCACGGCUAACUACGUG
rnacentral:rRNA from 1 species